AUUGAACGCUGGCGGCAUGCCUUACACAUGCAAGUCGAACGGCAGCACGGGAGCUUGCUCCUGGUGGCGAGUGGCGAACGGGUGAGUAAUGCAUCGGAACGUGCCCUGAAGUGGGGGAUAACGUAGCGAAAGUUACGCUAAUACCGCAUAUUCUGUGAGCAGGAAAGAGGGGGAUCGCAAGACCUCUUGCUUUAGGAGCGGCCGAUGUCGGAUUAGCUAGUUGGUGAGGUAAAGGCUCACCAAGGCGACGAUCCGUAGCGGGUCUGAGAGGAUGACCCGCCACACUGGGACUGAGACACGGUCCAGACACCUACGGGUGGCAGCAGUCGAGAAUUUUUCACAAUGGGCGCAAGCCUGAUGGAGCGACGCCGCGUGGGGGAUGAAGGGCUUCGGCUCGUAAACCCCUGGUCAUUCGCGAACAAUGGCGCCGGCCUAACAUGCCGUCGUCUGAUAGUAGCGGAAGAGGAAAGGGAC
rnacentral:rRNA from 1 species